rnacentral:pre_miRNA from 1 species
CAACUACUCCCUCUGUCCCAAAUUUCUUGUCUUAGAUUUAUCUAGAUACGGAUGUAUCUAAUACUAAAAUGUGACUUGAUACAUUCGUAUCUAGACAAAUCUAAGACAAGAAUUUUGGGACGGAGGGAGUACUUU